rnacentral:rRNA from 1 species
AGAAUCAACGCUGGCGGCGUGCCUCAGACAUGCAAGUCGAACGAUUAAACUUUCCUUCGGGAAAGAUAUAAAGUGGCGCACGGGUGAGUAACACGUAGAUAAUGUACCUUUGGGUGGGGAAUAACAGUCGGAAACGACUGCUAAUACCGCAUAAUGCAGCAGCAUCGCAAGAUGCAGUUGUUAAAGAAGCAAUUCGCCUAAAAGAGCAGUCUGCGGCAGAUUAGCUAGUUGGUAAGGUAAUGGCUUACCAAGGCUACGAUCUGUAACCGACCUGAGAGGGUGGUCGGUCACACUGACACUGAAUAACGGGUCAGACUCCUACGGGAGGCAGCAGUCGGGAAUUUUGGGCAAUGGGCGAAAGCCUGACCCAGCAACGCCGCGUGAAGGACGAAGUCUUCGGGAUGUAACUUCGUAAGAUAGGAAGAAUAAAUGACGGUACUAUUGUAAGGUCCGGCUAACUACGCGCCAGCAGCCGCGGU